rnacentral:tRNA from 1 species
GCUGGGAUGGCGAAACCGGAAGACGCGCUAGCCUUAGGAGCUAGUAGGAGUAAUCCUGUGGGAGUUCAAAUCUCCCUCCCAGCA